AUUGAACGCUGGCGGCAGGCCUAACACAUGCAAGUCGAACGGUAACAGGAAGCAGCUUGCUGCUUUGCUGACGAGUGGCGGACGGGUGAGUAAUGUCUGGGAAACUGCCCGAUGGAGGGGGAUAACUACUGGAAACGGUAGCUAAUACCGCAUAACGUCGCAAGACCAAAGAGGGGGACCUUAGGGCCUCUUGCCAUCGGAUGUGCCCAGAUGGGAUUAGCUAGUAGGUGGGGUAACGGCUCACCUAGGCGACGAUCCCUAGCUGGUCUGAGAGGAUGACCAGCCACACUGGAACUGAGACACGGUCCAGACUCCUACGGGAGGCAGCAGUGGGGAAUAUUGCACAAUGGGCGCAAGCCUGAUGCAGCCAUGCCGCGUGUAUGAAGAAGGCCUUCGGGUUGUAAAGUACUUUCAGCGGGGAGGAAGGGAGUAAAGUUAAUACCUUUGCUCAUUGACGUUACCCGAAGAAGAAGCACCGGCUAACUCCGUG
rnacentral:rRNA from 1 species